GGGGAUUUAGCUCAGCGACAUAAGCGCCUGCCUUGCAAGCAGGCAGUUGUGAGUUCAAUCCCUG
rnacentral:tRNA from 1 species